rnacentral:rRNA from 1 species
AAGCUUCCGCAAUGGACGAAAGUCUGACGGAGCAACGCCGCGUGUGUGAUGAAGGGUUUCGGAUCGUAAAACGCUGUUGUUAGGGAAGAACAAGUAUCGGAGUCACUGCCGGUACCUGGACGGUACCUGACGAGAAAGCCACGGCUAACUACGUUCCAGGCGCCGCGGUAAAACGUAGGUGGCAAGCGUUGGCCGGAUUUAUUGGGCGUAAAGCGCGCGCAGGCGGUCUUUUAAGUCUGAUGUGAAAUCUUACAGCUUAACUGUAAGCGGUCAUUGGAAACUGGGAGACUUGAGUGCAGAAGAGGAGAGUGGAAUUCCACGUGUAGCGGUGAAAUGCGUAGAGAUGUGGAGGAACACCAGUGGCGAAGGCGGCUCUCUGGUCUGUAACUGACGCUGAGGUGCGAAAGCGUGGGUAGCGAACA